GACGAACGCUGGCGGCGUGCCUAAUACAUGCAAGUCGAACGCAGUGGGGACGGGUGAGCAACACGUUGGUAACAUCACAUCAGAGGGGAUAACACUUGGAAACAGGUGCUAAACCGAUACUGAUGGAUGGACCCGCGGGGCAUCAGCUAGUUGGGGAGGUAACGGCUCACCAAGGCCACGAUGCAUAGCCGACCUGGUCGGGGGGUCGGCCGCACUGGGACUGGGACCCGGCCCAGACUCCUGCGGGAGGCACCAGUAGGGAAGCUUCGGCAAUGGAGGAAAGGCUGACCGAGCAGCGCCGCGUGAGUGAAGAAGGUUUUCGGAUCGUAAAACUCUUUUGUUAGAGAAGCGGUAUCUACCCAGAAAGCCACGGCUAACUACGUGCCAGCAGCCGCGGUAAUUC
rnacentral:rRNA from 1 species